rnacentral:rRNA from 1 species
UCCGUCCUACGGGGGGCAGCAGUGAGGAAUAUUGGUCAAUGGGCGGAAGCCUGAACCAGCCAAGUCGCGUGAGGGAAGAAGGCCCUGCGGGUCGCAGACCUCUUUGGACGGGGAGCAAGGCCGCCGACGUGUCGGCGGAAGGAGAGUACCCGUAGAACAAGCAUCGGCUAACUCCGUGCCAGCAGCCGCGUUAAUACGGAGGAUGCGGGCGUUAUCCGGAUUUAUUGGGUUUAAAGGGUGCGCAGGCGGCACGGCAAGCCGGCGGUCAAAUCGAGGGGCUCAACCCCGCCUAGCCGUCG